AGGUAACAGGGAGCCAGGCCGUGCAGGGCCUCGUAGGCCACUAGAAAUUCUUUGGCUUUUGCUGUACGUGAGAUCUGAGGUCCCCGAAGGCUUGGCUUCUUAGAGGAGUGACAAGUUCUGAAUUGCGUGUUGCUAGGAGCCCUGUGGCUGCUUGGUGGUGAGGAGGCUGGAGUUGGCCUCGGGGUGAAGCAGAGAGACCAGCUAAGAGGGCGCUGCCCAGAAAUCCUGGUGACAGAUGGUGGGCCCUGUGGGUGAAGCCUGUGUGCCCUUGUUGUCCUGCAGAGGGAACAAUCAGGACGAGGAGGAGAACCAGGUGUCAGCGUGAAGAAAAUGAGAGCGCUGGGGAGAACGAAGGCAGGCUGUUUCCUUCAGGUCCACUGGGCGACGGACAGUGAUUGUGGCCUCAAGAUCCAAUCACUCAGAGAGAGGUGCGAGGGAACUCAGCUCCCGGCUUUUUCAGUUGUGCCCUCUUCCUGAAUCCAUCUGUGGUGUCAACCAGUCAUGGAUGCAGGAGACUCUGAACUUAAGCCCAGCAGCACCACACCAAGCAUCAGGAAGAAGACAGAUGAAUACCUAAAACCCACCGUG